rnacentral:rRNA from 1 species
GACGAGCACUGGCGGCGUGCUUAACACAUGCAAGUCGAACGAUGAAGCUAGAGCUUGCUCUGGUGGAUUAGUGGCGAACGGGUGAGUAACACGUGAGUAACCUGCCCCGAACUCUGGGAUAACUGCUGGAAACGGUAGCUAAUACCGGAUAUGACCAAUGAAGGCAUCUUCUGUUGGUGGAAAGAAUUUCGGUUCGGGAUGGACUCGCGGCCUAUCAGCUUGUUGGUGAGGUAACGGCUCACCAAGGCGACGACGGGUAGCCGGCCUGAGAGGGUGAUCGGCCACACUGGGACUGAGACACGGCCCAGACUCCUACGGGAGGCAGCAGUGGGGAAUAUUGCACAAUGGGCGCAAGCCUGAUGCAGCAACGCCGCGUGAGGGACGACGGCCUUCGGGUUGUAAACCUCUUUUAGUAGGGAAGAAGCGAAAGUGACGGUACCUGCAGAAAAAGCACCGGCUAACUACGUGCCAGCAGCCGCAGUAA